ACUUCCCCUGAGGCGCUGUGUGAGCACUGAGGCUGCUGUCCCAGGCUGAGCAGUAAUAGGCAGGCUUGUCCUUGGUCUGGAGGCCAGAGAUGGUCAGAGAUGCCAUGUUCCUAACCGGGAGCCAGGGAAUCUCUCUGAGAUCCCUGAGAGUUGGCUGUUUUUCCUGUUGAUCAGGUGUUUGGGGGCAUGGCCCUGGUGCUGCUGCGGCCAGACAGCUCCAUCUUUGCCAACAUUGUUGCUGUCCCCAGUGCAGUACAGGAGAGGGUGACCUUCUGUCCCACGGUCCCUGACACCGAGGCUUCCUGGGUCAGCGCAGACUGUGCCCAGGACCCUGGAACAGAGGAGGCAGGCACAGAGAGGUCCAUGGAGGUGAACCACCCAGCACCCCUCAGCCUCUUGGAACUUGCAGCCCACAGCCUGCUGAGCAAUGAGGCUUCAGUUCCACUGGUGUUGGAACAGCUCACAGUGAACCUUUUCCCGCCACUACUCACUGCUGCAUUUGCCAAGGGGCACAGAAAGGCUCUGAAGGCCUUGGUGCAGGCCUGGCCCUUCCGGUUUCUCCAUCUGGGCUCUCUGAUAGUGCAGUGGCCCAACCAAGACAGCCUGCAAGCUGUGGUGGAUGGGCUGGAGGCCUUUUCUGCCCACAGGGCUUGUCCCAGGAAGUCAGAACUGAGGAUGCUGGAUUUCACCCUGGACUCUGAGCAAGUCUUUUACUGUGGUAAAGGGGCUUCUGAAGCCUUGGCCAAGUUCCCAUUUUGGUUACCAUCAGCAGUCAAGGCAGAGACGCCCCAGGCCACGGCCAGGCCCAAGCCAUUAGAUAAGUUCCUCUCCGACCUCCUGACGAAAGUGGAACAGAGCCACGGGGCCCUGCAUCUCUGCUGUAGGAAGUUGCACAUUGAGAAGAUGGCCGUCGACAGUCUGCUGAGGAUCCUGAAGACACUCAGGCUGGAUUUCAUCCAGGAGCUGGAGGUGUUUUACUGGUGUAGAGACUUCUUGGUAUUGGCAGAGCCAAACCUAUCUGCCAUACAGCUGGGAAGGAUCUUCAACCUGCGCAGCCUCAAGCUCUUCUACUACAAGUGGGCCUUCUCCUCAUGGGUCAGGCGGCCCUCCAGCUACUUCUUCUCCCAGCUCACCAUGCUGGGCCACCUCCGGAAGCUGCACCUGUCUCACUCCUACCUCGUAGGCAAACUACAUUACAUACUCAGCUGUCUGUGGGUCCCACUACAUUCCCUGGAGAUCUGCAACUGCAAGCUUCUGGACACUGACAUCACCUACUUGUCCCGGAGCCAUCAUACCACCUGCCUGAAGAAGCUGGAUCUGAGCGUCAACGACUUGUCCUACAUGAUCCCUGGGCCCUUGGGUACCCUGCUGAGGGCAGUCUCAGGGACACUGCAGCACCUAGACCUGAAACACUGCUGGCUGAAGGAUGCCCACCUCAGUGCCCUCCUGCCCGCCCUGUGCCGCUGCUCCCACCUCAGUUCCCUGAGCCUCUCCGACAACCCCAUCUCCAGUGCCUGCCUCCUGAGCCUGCUGGAGCACACCAUGGGGCUGAUGGAGCUGAAGCAGGUACUCUAUCCCAUCCCAGUUGACUGCUGCAUCUACCUGCAUGGCGUCUGCCGGGGUCCUGUGAACGAGGACAAGCUGUGCCAGUUGCAGGCCGAGAUACAGAAGCAGCUGCAAGCCAUGCAGCAGGCUGACAUGCAGUGGAGCCCCUCCACUGUCUUUGCUUAUGCAGCUGGUGCAGUUUGAAUGAAGAACAGGAGCCAGGCUCAGGGAACAGAAGUCAGAGAGGGCAGCUGGAAUCACAGCUGAGGCCACAUGUUGUUUGCAAGGAACAUAAAAUAAACUUCCAUGGGAACU
rnacentral:lncRNA from 1 species